GGGCCGGUGGUCUAGCCUGGUAAGAUGCCACCCUUACGAGGUGGAGAUCCCCGGUUCGAAUCCGGGCCGGCCCA
rnacentral:tRNA from 1 species